rnacentral:lncRNA from 1 species
UAGGCUCAGCCCCUUGUACUCCAUCAGCGCCGCCACGUCCCUCGCCAGAGUGCUGCGGAUGAUGGCCUCGCCCUCGCCGGUGCACGACACGGCGCAGACGUCGCAGGCGUAGGUGCCGGAGCCGAUCAGGGGCGAGUCCCCGAUGCGGCCGCUCAUCUUGUUCAUCAGCCCGCCGGUGGACGUCGCGGCGGCGCACCACCCGUUGUUGUCCACCACCACGCAGCCCACCGUCUCCGGCGCGUACACGUUGAUCGGCAGGCCGUUCAUCUGCAGACCACCCUCCGCCUUCGCCCCCAUCAGUCCCGCGAUGGCGCUG